UUGGUGUUGGCCUCGGUAUCGGAAUCGUUCAUCCGCCGGCGGAUCUCGAUCCGCCAUUCGGUCGCAUAGUAAGUGUAGAGCAUGUACACGACCACGGUGACGAACGUCACGAGCACAUAGCGCCAGUCGAACUGCCACAGCAGCACGCCCAUCAUUAACGCCAGUUCGACGAUGGUCGGCGCAAGUUGAAGUAUGACCAUGCGCACCAUGGUCUCGAUGCCGGUACGGCCGCGCUCCAGCACGCGCGUCAGCCCACCCGUCUUACGCUCCA
rnacentral:misc_RNA from 1 species